rnacentral:rRNA from 1 species
GAACCUUCGGGGAACGAUAACGGCGUCGAGCGGCGGACGGGUGAGUAAUGCCUAGGAAAUUGCCCUGAUGUGGGGGAUAACCAUUGGAAACGAUGGCUAAUACCGCAUGAUGCCUACGGGCCAAAGAGGGGGACCUUCGGGCCUCUCGCGUCAGGAUAUGCCUAGGUGGGAUUAGCUAGUUGGUGAGGUAAGGGCUCACCAAGGCGACGAUCCCUAGCUGGUCUGAGAGGAUGAUCAGCCACACUGGAACUGAGACACGGUCCAGACUCCUACGGGAGGCAGCAGUGGGGAAUAUUGCACAAUGGGCGCAAGCCUGAUGCAGCCAUGCCGCGUGUAUGAAGAAGGCCUUCGGGUUGUAAAGUACUUUCAGUCGUGAGGAAGGUUCAUGCGUUAAUAGCGUAUGGAUUUGACGUUAGCGACAGAAGAAGCACCGGCUAACUCCGUGCCAGCAGCCGCGGUAAUACGGAGGGUGCGAGCGUUAAUCGGAAUUACUGGGCGUAAAGCGCAUGCAGGUGGUUUGUUAAGUCAGAUGUGAAAGCCCGGGGCUCAACCUCGGAAUAGCAUUUGAAACUGGCAGACUAGAGUACUGUAGAGGGGGGUAGAAUUUCAGGUGUAGCGGUGAAAUGCGUAGAGAUCUGAAGGAAUACCGGUGGCGAAGGCG